UGGGGAAUCUUGCGCAAUGGGCGAAAGCCUGACGCAGCGACGCCGCGUGGGGGAAGAAGGCUUUCGGGUUGUAAACCCCUUUCAGGAGGGACGAAGCUACUCGGGUUAAUAGCCCAGAGGGUGACGGUACCUCCAGAAGAAGCCCCGGCUAACUACGUGCCAGCAGCCGCGGUAAUACGUAGGGGGCAAGCGUUGUCCGGAUUUAUUGGGCGUAAAGAGCGUGUAGGCGGCCAGACAGGUCCGUUGUGAAAACUCGAGGCUCAACCUCGAGACGCCGAUGGAAACCGUUUGGCUAGAGUCCGGAAGAGGAGAGUGGAAUUCCUGGUGUAGCGGUGAAAUGCGCAGAUAUCAGGAAGAACACCCGUGGCUAAGGCGGCUCUCUAGUACGGUACUGACGCUGAGACGCGAAAGCGUGGGGAGCGAACAGGAUUAGAUACCCCGGUAGUCC
rnacentral:rRNA from 1 species